UGCCUUUACAGGAAAUGACAGCAACAACAAGAUCUCAAAGGGCCAAGCUAAAGCCAAAUGAUGAAGCUGCAUAUUAUAUAUCUAUGUCAAAAGACAAGGAUGGGUUUGAAAUAAAAUUCAUAAAUUCAUUCAAAGGUCGGGGUGUCUUCAGUUGUCGUCACUUUCAAAAGGGUGAUUUUCUUUUUGAGUAUCGAGGACAAGUCUUAACUAAGGAGGAAUAUGAACGAAGACAUAGUGAACUUGAAGUCUUUUUGUUUGAGUUUCGUUUUGAUGGAAGACAACUAUGGGUUGAUGCUUCCAAAGAUGAUGGCUCUUUAGGGAGACUUGUCAACGAUGAUCAUGUGAACCCCAACAGUAAAAUGAAAAUCAUUACUGUGAACAGAAAGCCCCAUCUUUGCUUAUUUGCAGUAAAGAACAUCAGUCCUGGGGAUGAGAUUAUGUAUAACUAUGGGGAUUCUGACUGGCCAUGGA